GUUGCGGUGACUGUUUAUGGUGUUCAUGCGUGUACGUAAAUGCAGAAGAAUCUGAGUUUCACAAUGGAAGUUCAUUUCUCCGGGCAGCGGCGACUGGUGCGAAAAAAAUUGCUCUUCGAGGUCCCAUACUUACGUGAAAAGAUGAGUGACGUGGCCUGCUAAUCAGUUUCACCUGAGAAACUGAGCGCUCAUGAAGGACAAAGUAGCAACCUCCUCCAGCUCGCAGUGAGGCAAGGGGAAGAUGAAGUUCUGCGACCUGUUAUGCUGUGAUGCACUGUAAUGUCAAACCGGCUGCUCAAGGACGUGACCCGCAGUAAAGCAGAGCAUCACAUAAAGUCCUGGCUGAGGCACGCCAAAGAACCUCAUGACAGGACGUCGACAAAAGACAAGGGCUCGGAGUACUACACAGAACAGCGGCGACAGCUGGGCCAAUCCGUGCGAAACUAUUGAGGCCUAAC